rnacentral:rRNA from 1 species
UACGAAGGGGGCUAGCGUUGCUCGGAAUCACUGGGCGUAAAGGGUGCGUAGGCGGGUCUUUAAGUCAGGGGUGAAAUCCUGGAGCUCAACUCCAGAACUGCCUUUGAUACUGAAGAUCUUGAGUUCGGGAGAGGUGAGUGGAACUGCGAGUGUAGAGGUGAAAUUCGUAGAUAUUCGCAAGAACACCGGUGGCGAAGGCGGCUUCCUGGACAAUUACUGACGCUGAGACGCGAAAGCGUGGGGAGCAAACAGG